GUCAUCGCCAUCCGUCCUGGCUCAUGGUAAGGUGACCGUCUUGUUGGGGUCUUAUCUCUCUCAACAGCAGCUUAAAACGAACACACAAAAACCUUGAGGUCUUUAGGCGUUGCCUGUAAACCAUCUUAGUAAAAUGUUUGCUGUUCUGGAUCUGUGCCAUCUAAAGCAGGCUAACCUUCUUUCCGACGGAUUUCUAGAAGGGAUCGAGUCUUCCUGUCUCCUUCGGAGUGCUAUAGCAGUUCUCACUUCAGACUAAAACGUGCAAGGAUUUUGCAACUCUGGGAGACCCCAAAAUACCUGCGGGCAGACUCUAGCUUUGUUCAACAGCUCUUGAGAGAAGAUUUUUACCUUGUCAGCUGCUGUUGCAAUGACUGCCUCUUUGCCUCUGAAUUUCUAAGACAUGGUUAAUGCCUUCUAAUUUCUAGAUUUUUAAAGAUUUCUUUUUCUUUAGCUCAAUGUUUAUCCUUUUCUAUUUCCAAAAAAAGCAAAGCAAAUGCUCUUUCUUAACAGUCUUCAACCCAGCACAUACUUGGAUUUUCUUUAAGGGCAGUUAAGAUAGAGGCUUAUUGAUAUCGUCAGUGUUUUAUCUAUCAGUUCUUAGAAUAUAGAACCAGACCUGACAAGUAAUUCCAGAAAAAAAAAUCUGUAAUAGGGAAUAUUUGACUUGUAAUUUUCACUGAAGAGAAAAUUUAUGGUCAUUAAAAAAAUAAAAUUCUGAGUAUUUUUUAAUUACUCUCAAACUUGACGGUGAUUAAUGAUGAUCAUUUGUAUACUUUUAAUAUAUCGACUCAUUCUAGUUACAUACAUUAUUUCAUUAAAUACAUAAUUACCAUUUCUUUCGCAGGAAUCGUAAGGACACAGAACUACUCAGUAGUUUUCCUCUGUACAAAGCAGAUGAGCCAGGAUUUGAAACCAGUUUGCAUUAUGAUGGCCUUGGGAGUGAAGAUUGCUUACCGGGCACUUAGCGGAGGGUCAGUCAGGAUUCUCGAUGCCCUGGGAGUGUCCACUGAGAGCACGUCCAAUCGGACAGGCGAGCUUCUUCAUGUCUGACUGGAAGGCUUGGUUUCUGUGUUCCACCAACAGACCGUGAUCCAAGGAUGGAGAUUGGUGAUGCUUCUCUGCCUUGUGAUCUGAGCUGAGCAAUCGGAUUCCUCCCACAGCACCUCUGCAGGGGAGCCUCACCUAGCCACCUGAGAGAACUGCUGACAUCUCUGUUUAGUUUAGUUCUUUCCUUUUAGGAACUACUCCACACAACGCUUUCAGGAGUUCCCAGGAGAAAGACCACUGGGGACUAACUGACAUGACCUGGCUCCAUUCUAGAUGAAGUAGUAAGCUUCCUUUUCUCCCCCCACAUUUUAGGGCACACCAGAAGCAUAUGGAAGUUCCCAGUCUAGGUGUCGAACUGGAGCUGUACCUGCUGGCGUACACCAAAGCCACAGCGAUGCAGGAUCCGAGCCAUGUCAGAGACCUACACCAUAGGUCUCAGCUAUGCUGGAUCCCUAACUGAGCAAGGCUAUGGAUGGAACCUGCAUCCUAAUGGAUAUCCGUCAGCUUCAUUUCAGUUGAGCUACCAUGGGAACUUUGUCAUUUUUCUUUUUUAAAGGUUGUUUCAAUUCUGUCAAUGCAUGAUGCAUACCUCUGUAAAGUGUUUUAAACCAUUUCUGUCCCUGCUGGUCCUACUGCCUCUGAUACUGAAAUUUGCAGAUUUCUUGUACAUGAUUUCACUGGAAGUUCUGUAUUAGCCCUGAAAUGCUCUCUUUAAACCAGAUGAUUUCAUUUAUAGAAUUUAAAAUUAUUUGAAUUCUUA
rnacentral:lncRNA from 1 species